GUGAUUUGGGUUGAGUGAACUGAAACAAGGUCUUUCAUUAUGCAGGGUAGCUUCGGGUUCUGUUUUCUCUAAAACAUGCUUCAAAAUUUCUCUACUUGCUCAGGCUUGGUUUCACGGCGCGCCGGCUAGUGAAUAGGCUGUUUUACCAGGCUUGCUCUCAUCGUCAACCAAAUCCACACCAAAAACCUGAGAUUGAAUUCGUCAAAGCGAUGAAAUGUACUCUUGUCUGUGCGAACAUCCAAAAGAUCAACAUUGAGGUUGUAUCCGGUCAAAUCCAAACUCUAAACAAUUUCUUUCAAGGCUGAGUGGUGGACAUGAGUAUUAACCUUCCUAACACUGUAGAAGUCUCGAGGAGGAGCACUCUUUUGGGCAAGAAAUUUCUUAUCUGCAUUUAGCAUCAAAUGAAGAAUGAAUUGUUGUUCCAGG